GAAACCCCUCCCCUCUUCCCAUCCACCACCUCAGCAUCAUGUCUUGCUACAGCUCCCAGCAUAUCCUGUCUAGCCCCCAUCCCCCAACAUGACUGCAUUACAAAUAAGGCUAGAAAAGGAACAGCAAAAUCAGGUGCUCCGCUGAAGAUAAGCAGAACAAUAAACGAUGAAAGGAUACACACUCUUUCAGGUCGUUACUGAAGUCUGGAUUUCUAGUCCGUCAGUGCUGAUCCUGGGGCUACCCUCACAUCUGCAGCAUUCAAUCCCUGACUGGCCAUGGAGCAUGCCAAAGGGAGGAA